GACUAGACAGACAGUGAGGAUGGGU
rnacentral:piRNA from 1 species